ACUUUGGACAACCUCAGCUGAUCUUGACAACUAUUAUGGCCAUUGCUUACAGGGGAAAUGGGAGCUGAGAAAAAAGCUUAGGUUCCUGUCUGAAACUGGAUUUCAAAAGCAACUGUGCAAGUCAUUGCAAAAUAAACAACAGAUGUAAGAAGGGCACCGUUUUAGAAGAUGCUUUUGAUACUGUCAUGGGCCCAGCAGAACGGGGGUGGAGCAGCGAGAUGGCAGAGGAGGAGGACUUUAAAUGGAGUGACGCUUCCCAUGUUGAGCCACUGGGCUAUCUGAAGCUGCUGGGAGCUGUCAUGAAGAGAUCAGGAGUGAAGUGUCCCCAGUAUAUGAAUGACACCCAUCUCUAUAUCUCUGUUCUUUUUGAAUCAGGAGUGGUGACUAAGGUUCUGCCCCUGAAUUGCUGGUAAUGAAUACAGGAAGCUACUUUGUGCUUCUCACCAAGUGAAACGAUGAUGAUGGCUAUCUGGCAGGAGGCAAAAGGACCAAAAUCAGAACUGUUUUACCAGGCCCAUGGAACAGAAAACAACAAGGACAACAAGAGAAGGAUAGAGAAUGAACCAGAACAGGUGAGGGCUACGCAACUUUUAUCCUAGCAGAGAAGCAACUUUUAUGAAGGGAUGCCUUCUGAAACAAAGUAAGACAUUUUUCAGUUUAGCUAGAUGCUAACUAUUUGUAAAACUGCAGUGCUUAAGUAUCCACAGCAUCUUUGCAAGGGAGGAGAAUGGGGAGAAAACCAGAACAACUUGGCCAUGCCCCCAUGACUGCUCAUUGGCCACAC